rnacentral:rRNA from 1 species
GGUUAAGCGACUAAGCGUACACGGUGGAUGCCCUGGCAGUCAGAGGCGAUGAAGGACGUGCUAAUCUGCGAUAAGCGUCGGUAAGGUGAUAUGAACCGUUAUAACCGGCGAUUUCCGAAUGGGGAAACCCAGUGUGAUUCGUCACACUAUCAUUAACUGAAUCCAUAGGUUAAUGAGGCGAACCGGGGGAACUGAAACAUCUAAGUACCCCGAGGAAAAGAAAUCAACCGAGAUUCCCCCAGUAGCGGCGAGCGAACGGGGAGGAGCCCAGAGCCUGAAUCAGUGUGUGUGUUAGUGGAAGCGUCUGGAAAGGCGCGCGAUACAGGGUGACAGCCCCGUACACAAAAAUGCACAUGCUGUGAGCUCGAUGAGUAGGGCGGGACACGUGGUAUCCUGUCUGAAUAUGGGGGGACCAUCCUCCAAGGCUAAAUACUCCUGACUGACCGAUAGUGAACCAGUACCGUGAGGGAAAGGCGAAAAGAACCCCGGCGAGGGGAGUGAAAAAGAACCUGAAACCGUGUACGUACAAGCAGUGGGAGCCUCUUUAUGGGGUGACUGCGUACCUUUUGUAUAAUGGGUCAGCGACUUAUAUUCUGUAGCAAGGUUAACCGAAUAGGGGAGCCGAAGGGAAACCGAGUCUUAACUGGGCGUUAAGUUGCAGGGUAUAGACCCGAAACCCGGUGAUCUAGCCAUGGGCAGGUUGAAGGUUGGGUAACACUAACUGGAGGACCGAACCGACUAAUGUUGAAAAAUUAGCGGAUGACUUGUGGCUGGGGGUGAAAGGCCAAUCAAACCGGGAGAUAGCUGGUUCUCCCCGAAAGCUAUUUAGGUAGCGCCUCGUGAAUUCAUCUCCGGGGGUAGAGCACUGUUUCGGCAAGGGGGUCAUCCCGACUUACCAACCCGAUGCAAACUGCGAAUACCGGAGAAUGUUAUCACGGGAGACACACGGCGGGUGCUAACGUCCGUCGUGAAGAGGGAAACAACCCAGACCGCCAGCUAAGGUCCCAAAGUCAUGGUUAAGUGGGAAACGAUGUGGGAAGGCCCAGACAGCCAGGAUGUUGGCUUAGAAGCAGCCAUCAUUUAAAGAAAGCGUAAUAGCUCACUGGUCGAGUCGGCCUGCGCGGAAGAUGUAACGGGGCUAAACCAUGCACCGAAGCUGCGGCAGCGACGCUUAUGCGUUGUUGGGUAGGGGAGCGUUCUGUAAGCCUGUGAAGGUGUGCUGUGAGGCAUGCUGGAGGUAUCAGAAGUGCGAAUGCUGACAUAAGUAACGAUAAAGCGGGUGAAAAGCCCGCUCGCCGGAAGACCAAGGGUUCCUGUCCAACGUUAAUCGGGGCAGGGUGAGUCGACCCCUAAGGCGAGGCCGAAAGGCGUAGUCGAUGGGAAACAGGUUAAUAUUCCUGUACUUGGUGUUACUGCGAAGGGGGGACGGAGAAGGCUAUGUUGGCCGGGCGACGGUUGUCCCGGUUUAAGCGUGUAGGCUGGUUUUCCAGGCAAAUCCGGAAAAUCAAGGCUGAGGCGUGAUGACGAGGCACUACGGUGCUGAAGCAACAAAUGCCCUGCUUCCAGGAAAAGCCUCUAAGCAUCAGGUAACAUCAAAUCGUACCCCAAACCGACACAGGUGGUCAGGUAGAGAAUACCAAGGCGCUUGAGAGAACUCGGGUGAAGGAACUAGGCAAAAUGGUGCCGUAACUUCGGGAGAAGGCACGCUGAUAUGUAGGUGAAGCGACUUGCUCGUGGAGCUGAAAUCAGUCGAAGAUACCAGCUGGCUGCAACUGUUUAUUAAAAACACAGCACUGUGCAAACACGAAAGUGGACGUAUACGGUGUGACGCCUGCCCGGUGCCGGAAGGUUAAUUGAUGGGGUUAGCGGUAACGCGAAGCUCUUGAUCGAAGCCCCGGUAAACGGCGGCCGUAACUAUAACGGUCCUAAGGUAGCGAAAUUCCUUGUCGGGUAAGUUCCGACCUGCACGAAUGGCGUAAUGAUGGCCAGGCUGUCUCCACCCGAGACUCAGUGAAAUUGAACUCGCUGUGAAGAUGCAGUGUACCCGCGGCAAGACGGAAAGACCCCGUGAACCUUUACUAUAGCUUGACACUGAACAUUGAGCCUUGAUGUGUAGGAUAGGUGGGAGGCUUUGAAGUGUGGACGCCAGUCUGCAUGGAGCCGACCUUGAAAUACCACCCUUUAAUGUUUGAUGUUCUAACGUUGGCCCGUAAUCCGGGUUGCGGACAGUGUCUGGUGGGUAGUUUGACUGGGGCGGUCUCCUCCUAAAGAGUAACGGAGGAGCACGAAGGUUGGCUAAUCCUGGUCGGACAUCAGGAGGUUAGUGCAAUGGCAUAAGCCAGCUUGACUGCGAGCGUGACGGCGCGAGCAGGUGCGAAAGCAGGUCAUAGUGAUCCGGUGGUUCUGAAUGGAAGGGCCAUCGCUCAACGGAUAAAAGGUACUCCGGGGAUAACAGGCUGAUACCGCCCAAGAGUUCAUAUCGACGGCGGUGUUUGGCACCUCGAUGUCGGCUCAUCACAUCCUGGGGCUGAAGUAGGUCCCAAGGGUAUGGCUGUUCGCCAUUUAAAGUGGUACGCGAGCUGGGUUUAGAACGUCGUGAGACAGUUCGGUCCCUAUCUGCCGUGGGCGCUGGAGAACUGAGGGGGGCUGCUCCUAGUACGAGAGGACCGGAGUGGACGCAUCACUGGUGUUCGGGUUGUCAUGCCAAUGGCACUGCCCGGUAGCUAAAUGCGGAAGAGAUAAGUGCUGAAAGCAUCUAAGCACGAAACUUGCCCCGAGAUGAGUUCUCCCUGACCCUUUAAGGGUCCUGAAGGAACGUUGAAGACGACGACGUUGAUAGGCCGGGUGUGUAAGCGCAGCGAUGCGUUGAGCUAACCGGUACUAAUGAACCGUGAGGCUUAACCUU